rfam:Pteropus alecto contig57838, whole genome shotgun sequence.
GGCUCCAUAGUGUAGUGGUUAGCACAUCUGUUUUACAUGCAGAAGGUCCUGGGUUCGUGCCCCAGGUGGAGCCA